GGGGCAAUGCGGCGAUGCUAUACUGCAGGUCGAACGAGGUUUGGUCAGUUUGCGGUGGUGCUUGCAUCACCAAUUACCCUUUAACCGAGUGGCGGACGGGUGAGUAACACGUGGGUAACCUUUUCUUCAGCAGGGGAUAACAUUUGGAAACAGAUGCUAAUACCGUAUAACCACGGAGACCGCAUGGUCUCCGGGUAAAAGAUGGCGCAAGCUAUCACUGAAGGAUGGACCCGCGGCGUAUUACCCAGUUGGUGGGGUAACGGCCUACCAAAGCGAGGAUACGUAGCCGACCUGAGAGGGUAAUCGGCCACAUUGGGACUGACACACGGCCCAAACUCCUACGGGAGGCAGCAGUAGGGAAUCUUCCACAAUGGACGCAAGUCUGAUGGAACAACGCCGCGUGAGUGAAGAAGGCUUUCGGGUCGUAAAACUCUGUUAUUGAAGAACAACGUGUGUGACAGUCACUGGACAUGCAGUGACGGUAUUCAAUCACAAAAUCACGGCUAACUACUUGCCAUCAGCCGCAGUAAUACGUAUGUGGCAAGCGUUGUCCGGAUUUAUUGCGCGUACAGCGAGUGCAGGCGGUCUUUUCAGUCUGAUGUGAAAGCCUUCUUCUUAACCUAACAGCGGCAUCGAAAGCUGGAAGACUUGAGUGCAUAAGAAGACAGUGGAACUCGAUGUGUCUAGCAGAAAUGCGUAUAUAGAUGGAAGAACACCCUUGGCAAACGCAGCUCUCUGGUCUGACACUGAAGCUGACGUUCCCACUCGUG
rnacentral:rRNA from 1 species